rnacentral:rRNA from 1 species
UACGUAGGGUGCGAGCGUUAAUCGGAAUUACUGGGCGUAAAGCGUGCGCAGGCGGUUUUGUAAGCCAGAUGUGAAAUCCCCGGGCUUAACCUGGGAAUGGCAUUUGGGACUGCAAGGCUUGAGUGCGGCAGAGGAGACUGGAAUUCCCGGUGUAGCGGUGAAAUGCGCAGAUAUCGGGAAGAACACCCGUGGCGAAGGCGGCUCUCUGGGACGGUACUGACGCUGAGACGCGAAAGCGUGGGGAGCGAACAGG